UACGUAGGGAGCAAGCGUUGUCCGGAAUCAUUGGGCGUAAAGCGCGCGUAGGUGGCCUCAUAAGUCCGCUGUGAAAGUCCAAGGCUCAACCUUUGAAAGCCGGUGGAUACUGUGGGGCUAGAGUACGGAAGAGGCGAGUGGAAUUCCUGGUGUAGCGGUGGAAUGCGCAGAUAUCAGGAGGAACACCAAUAGCGAAGGCAGCUCGCUGGGACGAUACUGACACUGAGGCGCGAAAGCGUGGGGAGCGAACAGG
rnacentral:rRNA from 1 species